GCAAACUUGCUGAGGGUGCACUCAAUCCCACUGUCCAUGUCACCAACAAAGAUAUUAAACAAGAUAGGUCCCAACACCCGGCAUACAGGUCCCAACACCGAUCCCUG